NNUUGUGUAGUGUAGUGGUUAUCACUUUGGAUUUUGAUUCCAAUAACCCCGGUUCGAACCCGGGCACGACCU
rnacentral:tRNA from 1 species